GUACUCGUAGCCGAGCGGCCGAAGGCACCAGACUCUUAAUCUGGUAGAGUAAUCUCACCGUAGGUUCGAAUCCUACCGAGUACAC
rnacentral:tRNA from 1 species